AUUGAACGCUGGCGGCAGGCCUAACACAUGCAAGUCGAACGAGUGGCGGAAGGGUGAGUAAUGUCUGGGAAACUGCCUGAUGGAGGGGGACAACUACUCGAAACGGUAGCUAAUACCGCAUACCAUCAGAUGUGCCCAGAUGGGAUUAGCUUGUUGGUGGGGUAACGGCUCACCAAGGCGACGAUCCCUAGCUGGUCUGAGAGGAUGACAAGCCACACUGGGACUGAGGCACGGCUCAGACUCCUACGGGAGGCAGCAGUGUGGAAUAUUGUACAAUGGGCGAAAGCCUGAUGCAGCCAUGCCGCGUGUAUGAGGAAGGCCUUCGGGUUGUAAAGUACUUUCAGCGGGGAGGCGUUACCAGCAGAAGAAGCACCGGCUAACUCCGUGCCAGCCGCCGCGGUAAUUC
rnacentral:rRNA from 1 species